GAUGAACGCUGGCGGCGUGCCUAAUACAUGCAAGUCGAGCGAACAGACGAGGAGCUUGCUCCUCUGACGUUAGCGGCGGACGGGUGAGUAACACGUGGAUAACCUACCUAUAAGACUGGGAUAACUUCGGGAAACCGGAGCUAAUACCGGAUAAUAUAUUGAACCGCAUGGUUCAAUAGUGAAAGACGGUUUUGCUGUCACUUAUAGAUGGAUCCGCGCCGUAUUAGCUAGUUGGUAAGGUAACGGCUUACCAAGGCAACGAUGCGUAGCCGACCUGAGAGGGUGAUCGGCCACACUGGAACGUGGACACGGUCCAGACUCCUGAGGGAGGCAGCAGUAGGGAAUCUUCCGCAAUAGGCGAAAGCCUGACGGAGCAACGCCACGUGAGUGAUGAAGGUCUUCGGAUCGUAAAACUCUGUUAUUAGGGAAGAACAAAUGUGUAAGUAACUAUGCACGUCUUGACGGUACCUAAUCAGAAAGCCACGGCUAACUACGUG
rnacentral:rRNA from 1 species